CACUUACUGCGAUGGGCGGGAGAAUGUGGUUUUCAUUCCAAGAGGCCGCUGUUUUUCCUGUAGACAGUGGGUAGAACAAUUAGCAGCAAGAAGCACCCUGCUGCAAGCUUGCCUGUGUGAUGAGGUGGAGAGGCACUGAAUGCCCCUUCCUCGUCACUGUGCUCACUUUGGUGGAGGCUUAUCAUGAUCGACUAGGACAAUUUUCUAGCAUGUCUGCACCGAAUCUCUUCCCGAUAGAAUUGAAGGUGAACUCAGGGCAGCAUGGAGUGCCCACCUGGCCUCCUCCCAGUGUGUCUGCGUCUCCGCUUAGUCUCCGAAUGGACAGUAAGAACACCUGUGCUACCCGUGAGCAGCCAGCACAAUGUAUUCUGACAUCAAACAGCUCCUUAGAAAGUCUGGGAACCCUGCCAUGAGACGUCAUGCAAAUCCAGUUGAGAGUCCUUUGUCUCUUAUGAUUCUAAACAAAAGUACCACCUUCUUCAGGGAAAGUGGAAUUGACCCACCCUGUGACCGGCAAGUGCCCGCUGGAGGGCACCUUCCCUGGGGGGUAGUUUAGUUUUCCUUUCAAUGCCGUGAACAGUUUCACUUCCGAUUAAGCACCAAAGCAAAAGAUAUACAGAAAUAGUUCAUUUGGAAGAGGAUGGAGUCAAAUCAGCUGUUUUUCUUUUUAUUAUACUUACUAUAAUUUAAAAAAAUCCUAAAUGAAGGCGACAUGGAGAGAUUUCCUCCUGUUAGGGACGGGCCUGACAUCGCGCAUCUCAGGUCUUCUGUGCAGGCAGAAUCCACGGCGAAGACGUGCCUUGUUCAUCACCUGUGCAGAGAACGAAGAAAGCAACCUUCAUGCUUCCCUUUCUCACUAGAAAAACAAAAGCAUGAGUCUGGAAUCUAUGCAACGUGAUAUUGUUUUAGAAACUGCGGAAAUUUCUGUUUCUAUUCUGGGGUGUUUUCCAAGCACCACGAUGGUAGCACAACGCUCACCUGCCCCAGCUUGAUUCGUCAGAUUUCACCAGCUCACUGCACAGGAUGCAUAGGUGGUGCACAACAGCGUGUGCAGCUUACUGCUUAUAAAUCAACUAGCUUGCUCAUAAGACACCGUUACUGCAGACUUUUUAAUCUCUCUUACCCUACCCCUGGGAAAAGGACUGGUAAGUGUAACGUUCAUGAAGUAUCUUGCAUAGGCAAGGAUUUACUCAAAUGCCAAACUCAACUUAAACCUGAGUUUUUCAAUGCUAAGCAUUGGGAGGCCUGAACCAGCUCCUAUCUGAGGCAGCAUUAACAUGCUUGCCCUUCAUACUAAGAGAAAUAUUCACUUUCUCUAGGGAUGAGGAGUGGUUAGCAGAAGGAAAUCAAACUUUUCUGGAAAUGAUUUCAGCAUAUUCAUCUUGUAAGAAUGUCUUCUGAUAUAAUGCUUAAAAAAACAAGUGAAUGUGAGAGUUGCUUUACACAAUUCCCCCUGGGUUUUAGGAAUUUCACCAAAUACAGUCUGGGGACCUGGAGUCUUUCUGCCUGGUCAGUCCUGGAGGUGGAAUCUGGAAACAGCCUUGGAUCGCAGCCUUCCACUGCUGGGCUCGGCCCUCCAUUGGGUCCCCCCUUCACCCCACGCCCUUUCCCAGAGGCCUCCUGCUUCUGGAACCGGAAAUGUUCAUUUUGGUGGGGCCGUGAUUGGUGGGCUCAGAGCCAGAAUUUCCCAUCUCAACUGCCCUUUGAAAGACAACGGCAAGAGGGACCCAGGUGACAUGGAACAGAGCUGUGUGCCUGCCAGGGAGAAAGUCUAUGUACAAGGAAUGCUGUGAGCCAUCUCCGCUUCCAGUGGGCAAGACCAGAAGUCACCUGAACUGUGAACCUGGUGGGUCCUCUGGCCUCUGCCUCUCAGCCACUCUUUUGUGAAGAGUAAAUGAAACAGCUUCUGCACAGAGCCCAGCGCUAUGCUGGGUGCAUCAUACACAUUUCAGAAAAUGUACCCUGACCACAGCAUGAGCCAUGGUGCCCACAGAAAACACAGAGUGUGCCCGGUGGGACCUUCAGAAAUGGGCGGAGUCCCCUUUGCCUCUCCCCAGUCUCUGCAUCCGUUCCCAUUGGGCGUGUUAUCGGAUGAACGCAGAGGGCUGAAGCGCUCUGGCUUUUCAUUGUGGGUUUUUGAGCCAAUGUAAAGACAUUUGUUCCCAUGGACCCUGGAUUUUCAGAGACACCCAGAUAUCAGGAGCGGCACAGCUGGCGUUCUGUGGAAAGUCAUACCAAUUAUUUAUGAUCUAAUGCUUUUAGAUUAGAAAAAUCAACAAUAUCACAUCUGGGGAAAUAGUUGUUAUGGUCCACUGUGUGAUAAAAAAUACAAAUGAUCCAAGAUCCUAAGAAAUAUAAUAUUCAAUAAACAGGAUGUCUGCAUUCUAGUGUUUUCUUUCAAUUUAUGUUAAGGCCUUUGUGGAAUCAAUGUGACUUGGUGUAGAGAUGGGUUGCCCCCACUGUCAAUCACUUUCAAGAGCUUUGCUACCUCCUCCUCCCAGCCUCUCCUCCUAGGAAGCAUCUGAAGCUCCUGGGGCUCCCUGGAGGCAGGUGCACAGCCUGGACCCCCAGGACAGGUAGUGGUGCCAUGUUUCCAGCCCAUCUCCUUCCUAUAAUUACAAGUAGA
rnacentral:lncRNA from 1 species